rnacentral:tRNA from 1 species
ACUUAAAUAGCUUAUAGUAAGAGCAUAAUAUUGAAGAUAUUAGGGAAAUAGUGAUAUUUUUAAGUA